UGGGGAAUUUUGGACAAUGGGCGAAAGCCUGAUCCAGCAAUGCCGCGUGUGUGAAGAAGGCCUUCGGGUUGUAAAGCACUUUUGUCCGGAAAGAAAUGGCUCUGGUUAAUACCUGGGGUCGAUGACGGUACCGGAAGAAUAAGGACCGGCUAACUACGUGCCAGCAGCCGCGGUAAUACGUAGGGUCCAAGCGUUAAUCGGAAUUACUGGGCGUAAAGCGUGCGCAGGCGGUUGUGCAAGGCCGAUGUGAAAUCCCCGAGCUUAACUUGGGAAUUGCAUUGGUGACUGCACGGCUAGAGUGUGUCAGAGGGGGGUAGAAUUCCACGUGUAGCAGUGAAAUGCGUAGAGAUGUGGAGGAAUACCGAUGGCGAAGGCAGCCCCCUGGGAUAACACUGACGCUCAUGCACGAAAGCGUAGGGAGCAAACAGGAUUAGAUACCCUGGUAGUCCACGCCCUAAACGAUGUCAACUAGUUGUUGGGGAUUCAUUUCCUUAGUAAGCGUUAGCCUAACGCGUGAAGUUGACCGCCUGGGGAGUACGGUCGCAA
rnacentral:rRNA from 1 species